rnacentral:sRNA from 1 species
ACUAUGAGAUAUGUUUAGCGCAUUAUCUCUAUAUUAAAUAUUUAGAAGGUAUCUCCGAAAACCACAAAAGAUGUCCUUUUUUUUCGAGGUAUCUAGCAGGUUGUGCAGGUGCAAUACUGGUAUCUAUAUCUCCCCCUCUCAUAUUACGACACUCCACGGCGUCUAAGCGUUGGGUAUAGAUAUCCCUAAAUAACACAAACACUGGUGAGUCCUAUUCCGUAGGCAUCACAUUCUGUUAUCAACAUUUGUGUGCAUUAAUUGACCUGCGCGGUCCCAGCGGACUGCAAUAUAUGGAAUUAAAAGGGGAAAUAAAACACAGAAGGGUCUGUUCUACUGCAGUUUCUCAGUUAUGAAACUGAGAGGUUGAUAGGAGGAGCUUUGGAAGUUUUGAGUUAAGUAAGAUUUAACAACAAAUAGGGGCUGAACCCAUCUGGUUAAAACAUUGUCGUGCCAGGGUAACAUCUCUCCAGACUUGAUAUCAUGGAUAGAAGGUAGAUUGUUCUGUUCGAUCAAAAAAGGGCAUGUUUUGUUCUGUAGUAAUUCAAUGUCGAAGGCUCGCUGGGGGAUCUCAAAUCAAUCAUCUGAACUUUCGUACUGACGACGUUCGGAGGCAUCUGUUUAACCCUCACUCCAUCGCCAGCUCAAUGCCAACAACCC